rnacentral:rRNA from 1 species
AUGGCAACGGGCCACCGCGCCCUCGCCAAUCUCACUGCCGUGCUCCUCGUGCCCAUCUUCUUCGCGUGGCUGGCUGCCGCGCAACCACAGGUGUGCGGUGACAGCGGGAACUACUCGGCGAACAGCACUUACCAGUCCAACCUCGGGCAGCUCUCCGUCACCCUCCCCAAGAACGCAUCCGCGUCCCCAACGCUCUUCGCCACCGGCAGCGUGGGCUCCGUGCCGGACAUCGUCUACGCCCUCGCGCUCUGCCGCGGCGACACCAACGCCUCCGCCUGCGCGGCCUGCGUCACCACCGCCUUCCAGGACGCGCAGCAGCUCUGCGCCUUCAACAAGGACGCGUCCGUCUUCUACGACCUCUGCCUCCUCCACUUCUCCAACCAGAACUUCCUGCCCGACACCGACGGGCGAGGCAACCAGUCCAUCUUCCAGACGGACGCGCGGAACGUGUCCGCGCCGACGGUGGUGUUCGACAACGCCGUCGGCGUGCUCCUGAACGCCACCGCCGACUACGCGUCCUCGAACUCGUCCAAGCGGUUUGCCACGGGCGAGGAGAUGUUCGACAGAGGCGGAAUCCCCGCGAUCUACGCGCUGGUGCAGUGCACGCCGGACUUGGCGCCGGCCGCCUGCCGGAGUUGCCUCGGGGAUAUAAUUCAGAUGAUGCCCAAGUAUCUCAGCGGGGGAAGAGCGGAAUGGCUUUUUGGAUCCGAUGCAACUACCGGGCAGAAGGAAAGAUCAGCAGCAAAGAUCUCUGCAUCGGUGGCCUGUACCAUUGUCUUUGUAUUAAUACUUUCUGCUUCUGCUUUUAUUUGCUUCAAGAAAAGAAAACCUUUGAAGAAGCAGCCAGCACUGGCAUUUCAUAAUGCUGCGAGAGGAAAAUGUAUGAUCUUUGAUUUACCUACACUGCAAGAGGCAACAGAAAACUUCUCCGAGGAGAAUAAGCUCGGAGAGGGCGGUUUUGGUACUGUGUACAAGGGAACACUUCCAAAUGAGCAAGAAGUGGCAGUGAAAAGGCUUUCACAGACUAGUAGAGAGGGACUGAAUCAGCUGCACAAUGAAUUGCAAGUUUUGGCUCAGCUCCAGCACAUAAAACUUGUCAGGUUACUGGGGUAUUGCUCACAUCAGAAUGAAGUGAUGCUUGUCUACGAGUUCGUAAAAAACGGGUGCCUCCACAACUUCCUGUUUGGUAAUUUCAUCCGGAAUUACCAAUCGAGCAUGAACACGUUUUUGUCAUAA